rnacentral:rRNA from 1 species
AUACGUAGGGUGCAAGCGUUAAUCGGAAUUACUGGGCGUAAAGCGUGCGCAGGCGGUUUUGUAAGACCGAGGUGAAAUCCCCGGGCUCAACCUGGGAACUGCCUUUGUGACUGCAAGGCUAGAGUACGGCAGAGGGGGAGGGAAUUCCGCGUGUAGCAGGGAAAAGCGUAGAUAUGCGGAGGAACACCGAUGGCGAAGGCAAUCCCCUGGGCCUGUACUGACGCUCAUGCACGAAAGCGUGGGGAGCAAACAGGAUUAGAUACCCUGGUAGUCCACGCCCUAAACGAUGUCAACUGGUUGUUGGGGAUUUAUUUUCUCAGUAACGAAGCUAACGCGUGAAGUUGACCGCCUGGGGAGUACGGCCGCAAGGUUAAAACUCAAAUGAAUUGGCGGGG